UAUCUUCCUCGACAUUUGCUUUAAUCAUGGCCAUUUCCAUUUGUUUAUAGUACUCCUCAACACUCUUGGAACCUUGCAUAAGAUUUUGAAGUUGAUUGUACAAUUUUUUAUAGUAAUAGCUUGGUAUAAAUCUUUUUCUCAUUAUAGACUUCAAAUCUCUCCAUUCUUCAAUGGGUCUUUCCCUAUUUCUUCUCCGCUUCUUCUUUGUAUCAUCCCAACAAGUAAUAGCAUAGUCUUCAAAAAUAGUAACACCAAGUUGUAACUUCUUGGAUUUAGUGUAGUUAUUGCAAUCAAAUACUAGUUCAAUAUUCUUUUCCCUAUCCAAGUAAGCUUUAGGACCAUUCUUCCAUGAAAUGAUGGAAUCUUUAAUUUAACACCACUAAAGCUACUAUUACUAUUAUUUCUUGCUCUCAGUUGCACCUCCUCUUUUUCUUCAUUAUCACUACGUGAUUCAUCAUCUUUAAAGUCAUUACCCUCUUGAACUCUAUUUGGAAAUCUCCUACCACGCAUGGCUGGACUAGGAGCAUUAGGUGGCUACUCCCUUGUAACCAAAACUUUUAGCCUCUCUAUUCGAUCAAUAAUCUCACCAUAUAUUUUAUCCAUAGCUUGCAUCAGUUCCAUUAAGGUUUGAAACCUAUCUAUCUCAUUUUGGGGAUUAUUUGCUUAUCCAUUCAUCUUAUAUUAAGCUGCAAAACAAAGUUAGUAAAGCAAAAGAAUAGUUCCUCACUUCACUCCCUCACG
rnacentral:lncRNA from 1 species